GAUGAACACUAGCGGCAGGCUUAAUACAUGCAAGUCGUGGGGCGGCAGGGGUGUAGCAAUACAUUCGCUGGCGACCGGCAAACGGGUGCGUGACACGUACGCAACCUUCCUGUUACUGGGGAAUAGCCCAUGGAAACUUGGAUUAAUACCCCAUAUUAUAUUGGUUAAGCAUCUGACUGAUAUCAAAGCUUCGGCGGUAACAGAUGGGCGUGCGGUUGAUUAGGUAGUUGGCGGGGUAACGGCCCACCAAGCCUACGAUCAAUAGCUGAUGUGAGAGCAUGAUCAGCCACACGGGCACUGAGACACGGGCCCGACUCCUACGGGAGGCAGCAGUAAGGAAUAUUGGGCAAUGGACGAAAGUCUGACCCAGCCAUGCCGCGUGAAGGAUGAAGGUCCUCUGGAUUGUAAACUUCUUUUAUCUGGGGCGAAAAUCGGUUAUUCUUAGCCGCUUGACAGUACCAGAGGAAUAAGCACCGGCUAACUCCGUGCCAGCCGCCGCCGUAAUAC
rnacentral:rRNA from 1 species